rnacentral:lncRNA from 1 species
CCAGCUGUUCUAACACCUCCUGCCUGCCAGUACUGACUCUUUAUGCAUGGGGGCUUCCGGCUUAUCUAUACUUCGAAGACAGUGAACUAGGUAAUAUUAAAGGUUAACCAGAUAUAGGACUCCUCUGUCUUGCUACGAUGGACAGCCACAAGGAUUCACUUGAAUAAAAGAAGCAACAGUGGGUGCCAGGCUGUUUGCGGACCUGGGUUUGGUGUCUAACAUCCAUGUGGUGGCUCACAUCCAUCAGUAACUCCAUUCGAGGAGAUCCAAUACCCUCUACUGCCCUCCUCUAGUACCACACAGUGCUGUGGAUUGAAUGGCGGGCCUUGCACAGAAAUGUGCUGUUUUGUUAUACAUUUAUUACAAAGAAUCUCACAAAAAGAAAAUAUUUCAAAAAGAAUGCCAGGCUAAAGAACCUCCACCUGGAGAACUGGGGGAAGGCAGGGCAAUAAUAUCAACGUCAACAUACAGCACCCUCUGGCCAUACUUUAGCAGUUCCAGGAUGGCCAAGACGACAUCGUUGAUGUAACAGAAACCUGAGGCGUCAGACUUCUUUACAUGAUGCAGUCCCCCAGCCUGGCUCGCAGUGAUGUCCCUCUGAUGUGUAUCAAGUUUCACAGCACUUUCCAAAGAGCCACCAAUAGACAACUGACAACUCAGACAGGCCAUCGAUUACCGGGAAGUCCUCACCAACGCGGAAUCUCUGCAUCUGCUUGCUGUAUUUAGACACAUUAUCUGGGCGAAUAGAGCACAAGAGUUUAAUGUAGUCAUCACUGUGGGACUUGGUCAUCUCCUCAGCGUUGGCUCUGUGAGGACGAUAGAUUUCCAUUUUUUGGUAGAGAUGUAGUUGAGCUGCAAAUCACGAGUCAUGUGGAUUCGGUGAGGCUUCAUUGGGUGGCCCUGUCCAUAAGAUAGUUUCCAACAUCCCUGUUAACAGACGUUCCUCUUGCCCUGAGUCUGUGCCAUCUUUCUCACCACCCAGUGCUCCUGCCAGUCUGAUGUUUUAAUAUUUUUAGAUGGUGAUGCUUUGAGUUUAAAUGGCCUUUGACAAAUUCUAUCCUAAUUUCUAAUUAAGACAAGGAAAGAAAACAAAGAUGGAUAAGGACCAUAAAGUAAUGAAUGGACUGGAAACAGAAGUAAACUUAUUCAACAAUAAAA